rnacentral:rRNA from 1 species
UGAGGAAUAUUGGUCAAUGGGCGCAGGCCUGAACCAGCCAAGUCGCGUGAGGGAGGACGGUCCUACGGAUUGUAAACCUCUUUUGUCGGGGAGUAACGUGCGGGACGCGUCCCGUAUCGAGAGUACCCGAAGAAAAGCAUCGGCUAACUCCGUGCCAGCAGCCGCGGUAAUACGGAGGAUGCGAGCGUUAUCCGGAUUUAUUGGGUUUAAAGGGUGCGUAGGCUGUUUUGCAAGUCAGGGGUGAAAGCCCGGAGCUCAACUCCGGAACUGCCUUUGAUACUGCGAGGCUGGAAUACGGAUGCCGUGGGAGGAAUGAGUAGUGUAGCGGUGAAAUGCAUAGAUAUUACUCAGAACACCGAUUGCGAAGGCAUCUCACGAAUCCGUCAUUGACGCUGAGGCACGAAAGCGUGGGGGAUCAAACAGGAUUAGAUACCCUGGGUAGU